rnacentral:rRNA from 1 species
AGGAUUAACGCUGGCGGCGUGCCUAACACAUGCAAGUCGAACGAGGUAGCAAUACCGAGUGGCAGACGGGUGAGUAACACGUGGGCAACCUACCGUCGAGUGGGGGAUAACUAGCCGAAAGGUUAGCUAAUACCGCAUGAAACGUGCUGUGGCAUCACAGAACGUUAAAAGGAGCAAUCCGCUUGAUGACGGGCCCGCGUCCGAUUAGCUUGUUGGUGGGGUAAUGGCCUACCAAGGCUCCGAUCGGUAGCUGGUUUGAGAGAGCGACCAGCCACACUGGGACUGAGAAACGGCCCAGACUCCUACGGGAGGCAGCAGUGAGGAAUUUUCCGCAAUGGGCGAAAGCCUGACGGAGCGACGCCGCGUGUGGGAAGAAGGCCUUCGGGUCGUAAACCACUGUCGAAGGGGACUAUACUGAAGGUACCCUUGGAGGAAGCCCCGGCUAACUACGCGCCAGCAGCCGC